UCUUACACUGCUGCAGGCUCUUUUGUGCUGGGGGCUCUGGGUCUUCCUAUUAGUUUCCACUGGACUUCAGGGUCUGGUUGCUUACUUUCCCUAGGGGAUAAGCUUCCCUUUUAACUUGUUCUGGGAAGUGGGGUUUCCCCACUGACCUCUUCUAGGUAUAUGAUUUAGCUGCUGACCUGCUCCAGGGGUGGGAUCUUGCUGCUGGCUUCCUACAUUAAGGUUUUCUGGUGACUGACCAUAGAGAGAUCUGUGGGACCCUGUUCCUGGGUUGCUAUAGAAACAGGAUCUCUGCUGGUAGGCCCCAGAGGUGGAAUCCUGCUGUUUGACACCUCCAGGGCAGGGCUUCUUUACUGAUCAGCAGUGGGGUUCCCCUCCAAGGUAACCAGAGACUCCUUGGCUGACCUUGUCCCUCGCAUCAUGGAAAGCAAUGAAAAAGGAUAUACAGAAAGAUGCAGAGUCAGUCAGUGAACAAGCAUCAUUGGUCAAUAGUAUUGGAUGUUGUAAUAAAGUCAAGUGAUUUCUGAACUGCUUGAAGAACUACUAGUGAAAUAACUAAAAGGCAUAUGUCAACAUGGAAGAAGCAAGCAAUAUACAAAUGAAACGGACAUUAUGUGCAACCAACAAAUUCUUAAAACAAAGAAAUAAACAUAUGA